UCGAAUAAAUAGGAGUACUUUAAAUAUAUAUAUAUUUUUUAAAAGUCGAUAGGUGGACAGAAGCUUUUUCGUUGUGGACAAACUGUUCAAGAGCAAAAGAACUUUUAUUAACAUAAGGUCAUUCACUCACUCACAUUCAACAGCUCCUCUCCGCAAAAAAACACAAAUCGUCAAGUUGUGGUUGCGGUGACACAAUGAAGCUCCUGAAGAUGGAACAGGCCACCAGUGGGUGAGCACUUCCUUCCUGCGCAGGGCAUUUCGACUACCGGACAUCAAACAAUGAAGCAGCUGAAGGACGAGGUCACCCAAGGCCCGAGUUGCCGGGCUCUCUCACGUCAAUCCUUCAUCUGUCGUUGUGAGCUUUUCACAUUCCCAAUGCCUGAGGACACACGUAAAAACAUUCUGAUCAAGAAGAAGAAGCGUAAUCGCACUUCUGGGGGUUCCACCUGCAGGACAGUAGAAGAGUCAACUUGUGGUCGAUCGUGUUCCAAUCAGGACACUUUGGCUUGCAAGUGCUUGAGAGGCGGGAGGAAA